rnacentral:rRNA from 1 species
GAUGAACGCUGGCGGCGUGCCUAAUACAUGCAAGUCGAGCGAACAGACGAGUAGCUUGCUCCUCUGACGUUAGCGGCGGACGGGUGAGUAACACGUGGAUAACCUACCUAUAAGACUUGGAUAACUUCGGGAAACCGGAGCUAAUACCGGAUAAUAUAUUUAACCGCAUGGUUCAAUAGUGAAAGACGGUUUUGCUGUCACUUAUAGAUGGAUCCGCGCCGCAUUAGCUAGUUGGUAAGGUAACGGCUUACCAAGGCAACGAUGGGUAGCCGACCUGAGAGGGUGAUCGGCCACACUGGAACUGAGACACGGUCCAGACUCCUACGGGAGGCAGCAGUAGGGAAUCUUCCGCAAUGGGCGAAAGCCUGAAGGAGCAACGCCGCGUGAGUGAUGAAGGUCUUCGGAUCGUAAAACUCUGUUAUUAGGGAAGAACAAAUGUGUAAGUAACUAUGCACGUCUUGACGGUACCUAAUCAGAAAGCCACGGCUAACUACGUG